UACACACACUUUAUUUCUUUAGAUUAUAAUACUUUAAUUAUAAUAUUUAAGUCUUAAAUCUUAUGUUUUCUCUGCAGAUUUCAAGAAUUAUUAGUGAUGUAUGCUUAAAGAAUGUUGAACUCAAUCGGCCCCCUUAAUAUGCCAGUUUUCGACUUCGUGAACAGUUUAAAAGACUACUAUUGUGCUUGGAUCCAUUUGUUUCGGUGCACCAGUUGCAGCCACAUUGGAAGUGUUUUAUGCGAACUACUAUAUAUGGAAAGGAAUUAGUAGCUUCAUGUGGUUGAGGGUUGACUUUUCUAUAAAAGUCAAAUCUUUUUUAUGUGACUUGUAGGUUUGCAGACGUGGAUGAUUCUUUUGGUAGCGCAACCAAUUUGGACUAUCAUUUUAAUUUUUGUCUCUACUUUUACUACUGUCCCGAAAUUGCAGAUGGUGGAUUUGAAAGUUCAUCGGUAGCGGUAACUUGAUAUGGUGUUUUUAUAUUAAUUCAGGGCCGUUCCAACGUUUUUGUAGACCCUAAGCGGACUACAAAGUGGAGGCCCUUUUGCAUAACAUAUGAAGAUUAAUAGAAAAAUUAGCUGCUAAAGUUAACCUACAUUUAGUAACUAGCCCUAAUUUUGCCCAUAAAUUCUCCUCCAAUCCCGACAGACCCGACGCCAUGAGCGAUUACUGUUAGUGAUAGCCGAUAACCUAGAAAAUCGAAAGAGCAUGUUGCGAUAGGAGGUAGGAGCGAUGACUGCAGCUCAAUUUUAGAGAUUUUGAUGCUGCUUCACAGAAUUCGGAUGAGGACGAGUGGUAGAUGGUUGCUACAGACUGCAGUUAUGUAUGUGGUUUAAUUUCGAAACUGGGUCUUGAAUGCGGGCAUUUUUUCCUAAACAAUUUUUAUCUGUGAAACUUUAUUAAAAAAACAUGGUUUAGUUUUGUUU